rnacentral:lncRNA from 1 species
AGCUGGAUUUGGGGUUAGAGAGGUAGUGGUAGAAGGGGAUAAAUGGUGAGGGAGUCGAAGGAUGAAAGAAGCAAAGAGGGAUUAGAGAACUGUUAGAGCGAAGAGAGAUUGGAGAGAGAGGAGAGUGAAUAGGGUUAGAGUAGAGAGUAAAUGGAGAGGGAGAGAGGAAUUAAUGGGAAGGGGAGGUAGUUAGAGUAUUUAGAAUAGUGAUUCCCAUCAAAUGGCCCUGAUUAUGACGCAUGGCAUGUGACAAUGGUUGGGCUUAAUUGGGUGCAUAAAAAAAAUAUAGGGUCAAAUGCAUAAAAGGUGUGUGGUUCAUUCUAUGAGGAUAUAGGCA